rnacentral:rRNA from 1 species
GACGAACGCUGGCGGCGUGCCUAACACAUGCAAGUCGAACGAAGCAUUUAAGUGAAUCUCUUCGGAGUGAAGCUUUUAUGACUUAGUGGCGGACGGGUGAGUAACGCGUGAGUAACCUGCCUUUCAGAGGGGGAUAACAGUUGGAAACGACUGCUAAUACCGCAUAACGUAUUUUGAUCGCAUGAUCGAGAUACCAAAGCUGAGGCGCUGAAAGAUGGACUCGCGUCUGAUUAGAUAGUUGGUGAGGUAACGGCUCACCAAGUCGACGAUCAGUAGCUGGACUGAGAGGUUGAACGGCCACAUUGGGACUGAGACACGGCCCAG